rfam:Chlorobi bacterium OLB5 TZ05_CHB002CONTIG000265, whole genome shotgun sequence.
AGUCAAGUCCCGGGCAACAGUUUUUUACCCAACCCCGCCAGGUUCGAAAGAAAGCAACGGUAAGUAAUUGAUUGUGUGAUCCGGGUAACUUGACUUUU